ACCUCCUGGGCUGGCUACAGACUGACAAUACCUCCUGGGCUGGCUACAGACUGACAAUACCUCCUGGGCUGGCUACAGACUGACAAUACCUCCUGGGCUGGCUACAGACUGACAAUACCUCCUGGGCUGGCUACAGACUGACAAUACCUCCUGGGCUGGCUACAGACUGACAAUACCUCCUGGGCUGGCUACAGACUGACAAUACCUCCUGGGCUGGCUACAGACUAUAUAUUUCCAUACACUUAAUAAGAACAUGAAACAACUCUCAUAGAAAAAAACUUUGAGAAACGGAAGGAUAAAGUUAUCCAUCAAAUCUCCAGUGUGUUCUUUCCCCAAAACCAGCCCCUAAAAUAGCCUUGGACACCAAGCAAUGUUUUAUUUUGAUAGUGCUGUGUCUAUGGGAUAUAUGAACUAUUGGAAAUAGUAUCCUAGCAACCCCUUGUCCAAUAAUACAAACGCUAACUUUAUCCGUCUAUAACAGCAUUCUUGCCUCAAUAGGAAAGUAUCAUGCUUAAAUGACAUCUAGGAACAUGCCAACCCAGAUAUUAUACAGUAUGCCAUUAGGCCAACAGCUUCUAUCCAAAGCAAUUUACAGUUAAACAUGCAUACAUUUUUUUUUUUUUAAAUGUAUAGGUGGCCCCGGGAAUGAAACUCACUAUCCUAGCAUUGCAAGAACCAUGCUCUACCAACAGAGCUACAGAGGAUCAUCCAUUGUGUACCACAGCUCCAUUUCAAUUUGUCUCAACGGAAUCUCGAAAGCGUCCCAUAAACCAUUUGCACGGCGUUAAUUCUAUUAAAUUAGCACAUCCUGUUCCAUUUCUGAAUCAAAGUCUAUCUGGCACACCAUCUGGCCUACAUUUAAGCACAAUUAAAGUAGAACGGUAGAACGACUGAGAAAUGUUUGGUGGCAAAAGCCCACGUUGGAAACAAUGCCCAAGGGGACCAACUGUUAAUUCAAACAAUUUAAAUACGUAAAGUGGUUUGACUGUUUGCCAACUACUAUAUGGUAGAGUUCAGGACGGGAGACCUCUCUCCUGUCGAAAGGAAAUCCUUUGUUUAAUUAACAUCAAGUGUUUUUCCAGUCAGGACGAUUGGACCUCCAAUUCACAUUGAGAGAAGCCAUAUGAGGAGAUUGUGUGUCUGUGUUCUGAUCGGAUUCCACUUGAGCACACUCUGCCAAACUGGACCACAUAGUGUCUUCGACUCAAUUCCAAGGAAAAUACCUGAGAUAGAGACAUCAACACUGCAGAUGUUACUGAUUUUAAAUGAAUAAAUGAAACUCAUCAAACGUGCGCUGACUUUAAUUUUCCAUUAUCCAUGUAAUAGAGUGGGUUCAAACAGGGGUGCGCUAUGCAUUGUGCAAAUUGCACCGCGGGUUACAGUGCAAGCAGGCUUGAAUAUGCAGUGGAUUCGUCCCAAUCGACACAAUAUUCAUGAAGCAGUGUGACUGGUAUCUAGCAAAAGAGUGUAGGAGUGGUAUUUAACCUAGUUGACUGUAUUUUAAAAAAAAUGUAAAUAACUCAAGCUACCUAGCUGGCUAACUUGACUAACUUUGGGGUGGAAAUGUCCACUUACUUACAGGUAGCCCUGUCCAGCCCUGCCCAGAGGUGCGCUAGUAGACAGAUGCUGCUGAAACUAACAAAACAACCAGAAUAUGGACUUUAAAACUGGGUCAAUCAACAACAACCAACAAAAGAUUAGACAAUCUUUUGAAAGUGUUUAUCCCUUUAAACCUGUGUCUACUCGUCUUAAUUUGAUAUACAGUUGAAGUCGGAAGUUUACAUACACCUUAGCCAAAUACAUUUAGACUCAGUUUUCACAAUUCCUGACAUUUAAUCCGAGUAAAAAUUCCCUGUUUUAGGUCAGUUUGGAUCACCACUUUAUUUUAAGAAUGUGAAAUGUCAGAAUAAAAGUAGAGAGAAUUAUUUAUUUCAGCUUUUAUUUCUUUCAUCACAUUCCCAGUCGGUCAGAAGUUUACAUACAAUUAGUAUUUGGUAGCAUUACCUUUAAAUUGUUUAACUUGGGUCAAAUAGCCUUCCACAAGCUUCCUACAAUAAGUUGGGUGAAUUUUGGCCCAUUCCUCCUGACAGAGCUGGUGUAACUUGAGUCAAUUUUGUAGGCCUCCUUGCUUGCACGCACUUUUUCAGUUCUGCCCACAAAUUUUCUAUGGGAUUGAAGUUAGGGCUUUGUGAUGGCCACUCCAAUACCUCGACUUUGUUGUCCUUAAGCCAUUUUGCCACAACUUUGGAAGUAUGCUUGGGGUCAAUGUCCAUUUGUCCAAUGUCCAUUGAUGUCUUGAAAUGUUGCUUCAAUAUAUCCACAUCAUUUUCUAUCCUCAUGAUGCCAUCUAUUUUGUGAAGUGCACCAGUCCAUCCUGCAGCAAAGCACCCCCACAACAUGAUGCUGCCACCCCCGUGCUUCACGUUUGGGAUGGUGUUCUUCGACUUGCAAGCCUCCCCCUUUUUCCUCCUAACAUAACGAUGGUCAUUAUGGCCAAACAGUUCUAUUUUUGUUUCAUCAGACCAAAAGUACGAUCUUUGUCCCCAUGUGCAGUUGCAAACCGUAGUCUGGCUGUUUUGGUUUUGGAGCAGUGGCUUCUUCCUUGCUGAGCGGCCUUUCAGGUUAUGUCAAUAUAGGACUCGUUUUACUGUGGAUAUAGAUACUUUUGUACCUGUUUCCUCCAGCAUCUUCACAAGGUCCUUUGCUGUUAUUCUGGGAUUGAUUUGCACUUUUUGCACCACAGUACGUUCAUCUCGGCGUGGUCCCAUAGUGUAUAUACUUGCUUACUAUUGUUUGUACAGAUACAGAUGAAUGUGGUACCUUCAGGCGUUUGGAAAUUGCUCCAGACUUGUGGAGGUCUACAACUUUUUCUCUGAGGUCUUGGCUGAUUUCUUUUGAUUUCCCCAUGAUGCCAAGCAAAGAGGCACUGAGUUUGAAGGUAGGCCUUGAAAUACAUCCACAGGUACACCUCCAAUUGACUCCAAUGAUGUCAAUUAGUCUAUCAGAACUUCUAAUGCCAUGACAUCAUUUUCUGGAAUUUUCCAAGCUGUUUCAAGGCACAGUCAACUCAGUGUAUGUAAACUUCUGACCCACUGGAAUUGUGAUACAGUGAAUUAUCGGUGAAAUAAUCUGCCUGUAAACAAUUAUUGGAAAAAGGACUUAGAUGUCCUAACCGACAUGCCAAAACUAUAGUUUGUUUUAACAAGAAGUUUGUGGAGUGGUUGAAAAACAAGUUUUAAGUGAAUGUAAACUUCCGACUUCAACUGCAUGAAGAAUUGCCUGCUUAUCCCUCUGUAGUGUUGUUGGUUCAGUAACAUGAAAGCAUGAUGGGUAGUAUUCACAAUAACCUUUUUAGGUUAUCCCUGCUUGUCUUCUACUGCCACGGGUAAUUUGCUAUUGGGCGUCACCAAAGUAUCUGAGGCCAAUUAGGUCAAAACCCUUCGAGAUGACGCAGAUUGGUGUCACAAUGGUGUCUGAGAAUACUGGGUUCGCUCGGGUCUGGGAGACUUUAGGGGCCAUUUGGAGCCCAGAAAAGCCUAGGGCGCCAAGUCUCCCCACUCCGCCCAAACUGCAGGAAAGGAAUGGCCGCUUAUUAUUGCUACCUCCUUCCUACCCGGGGUUGCAGAACUCUGACCCCUUUUGUCUCUGGCUACUAACGUUCCCUCUUGACCAUGAUUGCUAAUUACACUUCCUGUUUGGCUGGCCCAUUCAGUCCCGUGGCUGCCAGACUGGUAAAAACAUUAGAGGGCAAAACCUUUCUCUUGUUGAUAGUCGAGGCUGUGGUAAACAGUGGAAGCAGUUGGAAGGAAACAAUGAGCCUCGAUGGCGUCCCUGGAUCUGUCCAACAUAACCUAAGCUCACCUUGGCCUCUUAUGUCAGGUCAAUGAGCCUCGAUGGCGUCCCUGGAUCUGUCCAACAUAACCUAAGCUCACCUUGGCCUCUUAUGUCAGGUCAAUGAGCCUCGAUGGCGUCCCUGGAUCUGUCCAACAUAACCUAAGCUCACCUUGGCCUCUUAUGUCAGGUCAAUGAGCCUCGAUGGCGUCCCUGGAUCUGUCCAACAUAACCUAAGCUCACCUUGGCCUCUUAUGUCAGGUCAAUGAGCCUCGAUGGCGUCCCUGGAUCUGUCCAACAUAACCUAAGCUCACCUUGGCCUCUUAUGUCAGGUCAAUGAGCCUCGAUGGCGUCCCUGGAUCUGUCCAACAUAACCUAAGCUCACCUUGGCCUCUUAUGUCAGGUCAAUGAGCCUCGAUGGCGUCCCUGGAUCUGUCCAACAUAACCUAAGCUCACCUUGGCCUCUUAUGUCAGGUCAAUGAGCCUCGAUGGCGUCCCUGGAUCUGUCCAACAUAACCUAAGCUCACCUUGGCCUCUUAUGUCAGGUCAAUGAGCCUCGAUGGCGUCCCUGGAUCUGUCCAACAUAACCUAAGCUCACCUUGGCCUCUUAUGUCAGGUCAAUGAGCCUCGAUGGCGUCCCUGGAUCUGUCCAACAUAACCUAAGCUCACCUUGGCCUCUUACAUCAGUUACAUCGGCACAUUUCCUUGUAGAUGACCCAGUCAUCUAUGUUUUUUUUUGGGGGGGGGGACUUCAUUCCUGUAGCGCUUUUCGGAAGUCUAGUAUCUUUCCAUAUCUAAUCGUAAACUUAUUGUAAGCAAUUGAAAAUGUAUACUGGAUUUCUCACUUGUAUUUCAAAAUGAAUGUUUCCAAUCCUAUUCAAACUAAGACUAAACGGAAAUGUACAAUGAAUACUAAAUACACGAUUGAAACCUUUUCCCCGGUACAUAGACUCAUGGCCUCUCCUCAACAAAAGGCUAACAAGACCAUCAAUAAUCCUCAAUGGCAAUUCUGCUCAAUGUCGCCAGACUAGAUUUACUGUAAUCUAUCGACCCCAUUGAUUAUCCAUCAAACUGAGAGACCCAAUUGUAUUCUGCUAGAGCAGGGAGAGACAGUGGACUACAGAUCAUUUACUCAGGUCAGCAGAGCCAGUCAGAUGCUGCCCCAUAUCUGGGCCCGUUACUGAUCUAGGAUCAGUUGAACCUUUUUAGACCAUAAUUAAUCAGAUUAUGUGGACAUGGGGACCUAGAUCCUAGAUCAGUACUUCGACUCUAAAACCCUUUAUGCAUACCGGCCCAGGUCUUUCACCCAAGUGUUCCAUGGAAGAGGUUAGGGGCUAAAGGUAGCAAGCAGCCUGGCACCUCAUCAGGGUGUUCUGUCUCUUGCCCUGUAUACCAACCAAUAACAAGUGUAUCUGCCUUUAGGAAUCCGCAUACUAAGUUCAGUUUGCUCCUAACAAAACGUGCCCAGGCAAAGUGAACAUUUUAUUUGCCACGCAUACUCCUUCAGACCUUUGCUUGAAAAACUAGAGAAAAAUAGUACUGUUUGUCCAUCUUGAGAUGCCGUAGCCAGUAUACACUUCUUCAAGAUAACUCAAGAAAUCUGUGAUUUUGGACAUUUUUGCAGAGUGGAUCUUAGUCAAGCAAUUUUACACCUAGCUAAUAUGUUUGGUGCAGUAUUUCUCAAGUGAAAAAAUGUGCAUGAAAACUAGUUGUCUCUUGUUGAAUGACGACAAACACUUAAUUGAAGAAUCACCGUCGAAGCGCCGUAGACUUCGACUAACAAAAGCAUGUUGUGUGCACAAACAGCCCAAAAGGACCUUGCCAAACACCAAAACAAACAAAAACGUCACAACAUGUCGUCAUAAUAUAUGCACAAACUGUUUUGGAUGGGAAACAUGCCUUUUCUCACACUUCAACACAACAUCUCUCUAGCGGCUAUUAUAUCUUAAUGGAGGAUCUGAAAUACGGUAUCUGAUGGAAUUGAGAAGUAGGAUCUUCUACAAAGUGGUGCCUCCAAUGGAUUUCAGAGGGACUUUUUAAACACAAGCUAUAUCUAUUGCAAAGACCGGUUUCUCAUUGCCAAUUGGUAAGUCCAAAGACUCACAUGGUGAGCAUUUAUAAUAAUGACUUGCGGAUCACAAGAUCAGCUCAUGCUCGCUAUUUUCUGUUAUACACAAGUAUUUAAUCAGCCACCAAUUGUGCAGGUUCUCCCACUUAAAAAUAUGAGAGAGGCCUGUAAUUUUCAUCAUAGGUACACUUCAACUAUAUUCAACUAUAUUUUCACGUGUGAAAUGUGACGUGAAGUGUUCCAAAAACACGUGUUUUCACAUGAUUUCACAUGUGGCAUGUCGUUUUCACAUGUCAUGUGAAACAACGUGAUUUGGUUUAAUAUGUGACAACAUGUGUGCUUAUCCAAAUGAUUGUUUGUGUGUACUGUAUUGACGCAAAAACACAAUUUUUUAAAAAGAGUUUUGCAAGAAUUGUUUGCUUUUCAAAGAGAUUUAUAAUGUUUUGCUGGCUUGGUGUAAGGUUUUGUGGUUGGUGUGUAGAGUUUUGCAAAAAAUAGCCUAUAAUUUCGAAGAUAGUGCCUAAGCGAAACUGGAGAAACAGAAAACAAAGUCUCUGCACACUUCCAGUUAGAUGCAAAUGUAUUUUAAUUAUAGCUGAGCUUUCAUCAGAGCAUGUCACCACAAACAAUAGUGGGGACAGAUAUGUCCACACAGUGAGCCAGAUGUAAUUGUAGACGCCUGUGGUAAUCUAAGGUACCCAAAGGGGCCACUAGAUGUCGUAACAUAAGAUAGAAAUAGAGGAUAGAAAAUAGAACAUGUUAUAGAUGUACAGUAUUACUGCUAGAACAAAACACACAAACACAGGGUUAUGUGGUGUUAGUAUAAGGAAUCUCUCAAAGAGCAAUAAAGUCAAAAAAGCGACAAAAGAAAAGAAAGAAAAGGAAAACUUGGCUGCAAUCUGAGGUGCAGUUAAAACUCUAAUGAACUGAUUCUCUGCAGCAGAGGUAACUCUGGGUCUUCCUCUCCUGUGGCGGUCCUCAUGAGAGUCAGUUAAAACUCUAAUGAACUGAUUCUCUGCAGCAGAGGUAACUCUGGGUCUUCCUCUCCUGUGGCGGUCCUCAUGAGAGACAGGUAAAACUCUAAUGAACUGAUUCUCUGCAGCAGAGGUAACUCUGGGUCUUCCUCUCCUGUAGCGGUCCUCAUGAGAGGCAGUUUCAUCAUAGCGCUUGAUGGUUUUUGCGACUGCACUUGAAAGUAACUUUCAAAGUUCAAAGAUUGACUGACCUUCAUGUCUUAAAGUAAUGAUGGACGGUUGUUUCUCUUUGCUUUUUGAGCUGUUCUUGCCAUAAUAUGGACUUGGUAUUUUACCAAAUAGGGCUAUAGUCUAUAUACCACCCCUACCAUGUCACAACACAACUGAUUGGCUCAAACGCAUUAAGGAAAGAAAUUCCACAAAUGCACUUAUGACGAGGCACAUUUGUUAAUUGAAAUGGAUUCCUGGUGACUACCUCAUGAAGCUGGUUGAGAGAAUGCCAAGAGUGUGCAAAGUUGUCAUCAAGGCAAAGGGUGGCUACUUUGAAGAAUCUCAAAACUCAAAUAUAUGUUGAUUUGUUUAACACUUUCUUUGGUUACUACAUGAUGCCAUAUGUGUUAUUUCAUAGUUUUGAUGUCUUCAGUAUUAUUCUACAAUGUAGAAAAUAGUACAAAUAAAGAAGCAGCCUGGAAUGUG